CAAAGUGAAAGACUCCAAGCCCUAAUUCUUUCUAAGCCCUUCCCAUUUUCCUCUCUUUCUAAGUGACAAUGGCACCAUCUUCAUCUCUACCUCCCCUCCGGCGACCCCCUCACCAACCCUCCCACGAGCCCAACCUCCUCUCUAAACGCACCUCUUUCUAAGUGUCCAAUGUAUUUUUUUUCUAAGUACGCUGAAUGGGACGCGAGAGAUCUGGAUCUUACUGCCAGAUCCUAGUCUUUGCCAGCCCAUCCUAGUGCCAAAGCUGCAUCGAAUGGCGGUGACAUAUACUGGCAUAUACUAGCUGGAACAAUUUGUAUGGCCCAUAGAAAAAACAAAUGUAAUGAAGGUUGGAUAAGAGUUGAUAUCUGGGAUCGUUUAAUUGACAAUGUUUGGAAAACUGAAACAUGGAAAAAUCGAUCUCAAAAGUCCAUGCAAAAUAGGCAGGCACAUAGAAAAAAAUGGAAGUAUUACGUACCAUACAUACUGGUGGAUCGAUUCCUUUUUUGCUUCAUUCAAAGAGGAUGCAACACAAUUAAAUCGGAAGCCAACAUAUGGAGAAGUGUUUAAUUCCCACAAGCAUGAAAAGGGUCGUGGUGAUUAUGUUGACAGCAAGUUUAAAUCCGUGAGUGUAAGUAAAUUGGUUUCAUAAGUAUAUACUAAUUAUUAAUAUACAAUUUUUGUUUCUAAUGCAUUAAUAAUUCUUUCAUUAUCUUAAAUCUACCACUCAUAAGGAUUUUAUGUUUUUAUAAAAUCUUAUACUUCUUCAAUGAGCCAAAAAUAUGGUGUCAAUGAAUCUUGCCAUCCUGAAUUUGACCCGCAAGCUUGGUGUGAUGCAAUUGGAGGAAUAGAGACUACGCGUAAACAUGUGUAUGGAUUCAGGACCACGCCACGUGG